UUCAAAGUCUCCCUUCUUAUCUGUUCUCGUGUGUUAUUUCUGUUUUGAACUAAAUUAAUAUGAUUUGUAUGUGUCUAGUAUCUAACACAUAUUAUGGAUGUUACAUUCUUAUGGAGAUUUGUAUGGCAGGCUCCAUGCUGCCUAUAUGGAUCAUUGUACACAAAGGGGACUGUUAAGGUGGUCUUUAUAUUUGCAGGUUUAUCCACAAAAAGGGAACACAUUUCAAACAUGGAUUCAUGCUUAAUAUUAAAUUUUGUUAUGAUUUUUUUGAUGCAUUGGAUGUGAAAACUGAGAAAGGAUGAUAUUCAUUUUGAAAGUUAUAUUCACACUUAAGCUAGUUUCUGUGAUCUUUAUAUUAGUUUGUGCAAAUUGAAUCACAUGAAAUAUGGAAGCUCAAACUGAUUUUUAGCUAAUCCAGUUAAAGAAUGAUGAUGGCAAAACUGUUACAUACUCUUCUGAAUGAAUUGUUGGAAAUUUUUUUGCUGGAAUUAGUUUACUAUUUAGCAUAUACUGGUCAUUUGUCGUUACAAUAAACACAUACUAAUUAUAUCUGAUAGACUUAUACAAGGCAUCUGUUUUUGCAUUUUUAUGUCCCAUAAGCUAUAGCUGUAACUGCAAAGGAAGAAUAUUUUAGUUUGCAUCAGUAUUCUCUUAGUGCUUGGUCUUUGAUGAGCUAGUAGCGUUAUGUAUAAAAGAAGUUAAUUUUUCUUGCUUUUGCUUUUUGAAUUUUAAAUAACUCAGUUCAAACCUUUUUUUUUUUUUUGGCUAAAAACCUUCAAUUCCUGCUCCCAUCUUUCUUGGGGUGUUUUGGUUGUUGGCAGGGGCGGAGCCAGGAUUUUCUUCAGGGGCGGGCCGGCAGUCUGACCUCUGAAUCCGGGUGGAACAGCACAUACUGCACUUUUUAUGUGGACAUUCAAAUGGACAAAUAGCGCAGAGGGAUUUGAAUGUACGACUCCUAGUUAUGGUUGUACAGUCAAAGUACCUAAACCAUCUCGUUAUCCACUUGUUCUGUAGAUCUGAUUCAGUCUUUACCGUAUUACUUGUUCUACUUAUGAAGCUUGCGUAUGGCUAAGUGAGAAUAUGUAAGGGAGGUCAGGCUCUGAUAGUUUGAUUCAACUUUUUGGUUUCAUUUUAUGGUGUCUGUUCAUGAUCAACUUUCACUCUGGGUAGAGAUUAAUUACUGAAAUAUGAUCCCUGAAAUUAUAGUUGCUGCUGAAAAUCGCAAUGGUCAUUUACAUCUUUUACAUGAAACUGGUUUUCACU